CAAAGGAAAGGAAGUGGAAUCGAAGCAAGGGUAGGAGCCACCGCUAUUACAGUGCACAUCCUAGGGAGAAUAUUAUUAUGCUGCUGCAAACUUUUUUUUUUGUUCCACUAAGAAUUAAAGCUGGGAUGGCUCGACCUUUUAUUUGUAUUUGUAUAAUGUGAAAGGUAUCUUUGCUUUCUUUUUUUAUCCAUCCAUCUUAGUGUGCAGGGAUCAAUAAUGCCAUUCGACCAAUAGCAUAUUGUGACUGUUGUUGUCCAUUUUGUGUCUAGCUUGAUUUGAACAAUUGAUGUAUCUUGAAAUAGCCAAUGUAUCCCUAGAAUCACAAUCACCUCGUAUAAAUGGAAGUGCAUCUUGCAAGUGGAAGACUAUUACUCAUGAUAAGAGACUAAAUGAGAACAGCACUAUGUAUAAGAGUUAUAGUAACAAAACAUCGGGAAACCAUUUAUAUUUUUUAGGAAGAAAUCGCACUCAUUACUAUCUUUAUUUUUAUUUUUCUUCAUAAGUUGUAGUGCUAUACCUUUACUAUUUUCAACCACUAUCUCUACCAUGUAGAUAUCCACAUUAAACUGCCUCACCAUACACCUCAACAAAGUAACAAGAGGACAUAUAUAAAAAAAGUCAAUAUACUUACCACGUUGGGAAUAGAUUCUUAGGAGUGGGAAGGGAGUUAUGUAUGGUCGAGUUUUUUCAACAAAUUUUAGCUAAAAAUGAGAAAUUGACUUGAUUUAAUGUUUUUGCUCUUGAGUUGUACCUAGAUAUUUGACUUAAAAGUUUGGCUUUCUCAAUUGUGAAGUUAAAUUUUCCAGCGGAAGUCUUAUAGUUAAUUUAUAGAGACCUUUUGAUUUGUAACCCUUCAAUUUUGAUUACCAAAUGAUAAUAGUCAAUAGGUACCUAGGUGAUUUUAGCCCUUCGAUAUUGACUAGCUAAGCAAAUGACUAGAAGUAGCAAG
rnacentral:lncRNA from 1 species